AGAGCGAACGCUGGCGGCAGGCCUAACACAUGCAAGUCGAGCGCCCGUAGCAAUACGGGAGCGGCAGACGGGAUAGUAACACGUGGGAACGCGCCCUUCGGUUCGGAAUAACUCAGGGAAACUUGAGCUAAUACCGGAUACGCCCUUACGGGGAAAGAUUUAUUGCCGAAGGAACGGCCCGCGUCCGAUUAGCUAGUUGGUGAGGGUAAUGGCUCACCAAGGCGACGAUCGGUAGCUGGUCUGAGAGGAUGACCAGCAUCACUGGGACUGAGACACGGCCCAGACUCCUACGGGAGGCAGCAGUGGGGAAUAUUGGACAAUGGGCGCAAGCCUGGAUCCAGCCAUGCCGCGUGGAUGAUGAAGGCCUUAGGGUUGUAAAGUCCUUUUAACGGGGAAGAUAAGUGACGGUACCCGUAGAAUAAGCCCCGGCUAACUUCGUGCCAGCAGCCGC
rnacentral:rRNA from 1 species